UGGGGAAUUUUGGACAAUGGGGGAAACCCUGAUCCAGCCAUCCCGUGUGUGCGAUGAAGGCCUUCGGGUUGUAAAGCACUUUUGGCAGGAAAGAAACGUCAUGGGUUAAUACCCCGUGAAACUGACGGUACCUGCAGAAUAAGCACCGGCUAACUACGUGCCAGCCGCCGCGGUAAUACGUAGGGUGCAAGCGUUAAUCGGAAUUACUGGGCGUAAAGCGUGCGCAGGCGGUUCGGAAAGAAAGAUGUGAAAUCCCAGAGCUCAACUUUGGAACUGCAUUUUUAACUACCGGGCUAGAGUGUGUCAGAGGGAGGUGGAAUUCCGCGUGUAGCAGUGAAAUGCGUAGAUAUGCGGAGGAACACCGAUGGCGAAGGCAGCCUCCUGGGAUAACACUGACACUCAUGCACGAAAGCGUGGGGAGCAAACAGG
rnacentral:rRNA from 1 species